rnacentral:rRNA from 1 species
GAUGAACGCUGGCGGCGUGCCUAAUACAUGCAAGUCGAGCGAACAGACGAGGAGCUUGCUCCUCUGAUGUUAGCGGCGGACGGGUGAGUAACAGGUGGAUAACCUACCUAUAAGACUGGGAUAACUUCGGGAAACCGGAGCUAAUACCGGAUAACAUGUUGAACCGCAUGGUUCAACAGUGAAAGACGGUCUUGCUGUCCCUUAUAGAUGGAUCCGCGCCGCAUUAGCUAGUUGGUAAGGUAACGGCUUACCAAGGCAACGAUGCGUAGCCGACCUGAGAGGGUGAUGGGGCACACUGGAACUGAGACACGGUCCAGACUCCUACGGGAGGCAGCAGUAGGGAAUCUUCCGCAAUGGGCGAAAGCCUGACGGAGCAACGCCGCGUGAGUGCAGAAGGUCUUCGGAUCGUAAAACUCUGUUAUUAGGGAAGAACAAAUGUGUAAGUAACUAUGCACGUCUUGACGGUACCUAAUCAGAAAGCCACGGCUAACUACGUG